rnacentral:rRNA from 1 species
UACGGGGGGAGCAAGCGUUGUUCGGAUUUACUGGGCGUAAAGGGCGCGUAGGCGGUCGUGACAAGUCACUUGUGAAAUCUCCGGGCUUAACUCGGAACGGUCAAGUGAUACUGUCGUGCUAGAGUGCAGAAGGGGCAACUGGAAUUCUCGGUGUAGCGGUGAAAUGCGUAGAUAUCGAGAGGAACACCUGCGGCGAAGGCGGGUUGCUGGGCUGAUACUGACGCUGAGGCGCGAAAGCCAGGGAGCGAACGGG